GACGAACGCUGGCGGCGUGCUUAACACAUGCAAGUCGAACGGAAAGGCCCUGCUUUUGUGCGGUGGUCGAGUUGCGAACGGGUGAGUAACACGUGAGUAACCUGUCCCUGCCUUUGGGAUAACUUCAGGACACUGGGGCUCAUACCGGAUAGGAUCUCCUGCUGCUUGGUGGGGGUUGGUUAGUUUCGGUUGUUGGGGAUGGACUCGCGGCUUAUCAGCUUGUUGGUGGGGUAGUGGCUGACCAAGGCUUUGACGGGUAGCCGGCCUGAGAGGGUCACCGGCCACAUUGGGACUGAGAUACGACCCAGACUCGUACGGGAGGCAGCGGUGGGGAAUAUUGCACAGUGGGCGGAAGGCUGAUGCAGCAACGCCGCGUGCGGGAUGACGGCCUGCGGGUUGUAAACCAAUGUCGCCUGAGACGAGGCGUGAGUGACGGUAAUGGGUAAAGAAGCACCGGCUAACUACGUG
rnacentral:rRNA from 1 species